AGGGCACCACCAGGAGUGGAGCCUGCGGCUUAUUUUGACUCAACAGGGAAAAACUCACCCGGCCCGGACACCGUAAGGAUUGACAGACUGAGAGCUCUUUCUGAUUCGGUGGGUGGGUGGUGCAUGGCCGUUCUUAGUCGGGGGAGCGAUUUGUCUGGGUUAAUUCCGAUAACGACGAAGAUUCUGUGCCUAUUAAUAAGGCGGGAUGAUCGCACUGUAUAUCUUGGCUUCUUUAUAGAGACAAGUGGCGUCUAUCCGCUGACAUAAGCACAUAGGUCUGUGAUGGACCUCAAUGUCUGGGCGCUGCGCGCUACACUGAUAGAUAAGCGUGCGCUUUACUAGUUCGGAAGACCGGGUACCAGUAAUCUGUCGCUUGGAACGAAUGGCAUAUUCUGUACAGAAUCCGUAUUGCGAUUCAGGUCGCGGUAACUCUGCAUGACACGCCCGCCUCUCGAUGACUAAGAGACUCAGCAGUAAGUCUCGGUCAUGCGGGAUUGAUCGACUACUUAUCUAAGGAGU
rnacentral:rRNA from 1 species